GCGACGGUGGUAUAAUGGUUAGCAUAGCUGCCAUCUAAGCAGUUGACCCGGGUUCAAUUCCCGGUCGUUGCA
rnacentral:tRNA from 1 species